rnacentral:rRNA from 1 species
GACGUAGGGUGCAAGCGUUUGUCCGGAUUUACUGGGCGUAAAGAGCGCGUAGGCGGCUCGUUAAGUGAGAAGUGAAAGCUGUGGGCUCAACCCACAAACCGCUUUUCAUACUGGCGAGCUGGAGUGAUGCAGAGGUGGAUAGAAUUCCCGGUGUAGCGGUGAAAUGCGUUGAUAUCGGGAGGAAUACCCGUGGCGAAGGCGGUCCACUGGGCAUCAACUGACGCUGAGGCGCGAAAGCGUGGGUAGC